UAGAAAGUAGUUUAAUUCGUAAAACCGGGAAAUUUGACUUCCCAAUCAUAAGUUCAACUCUUAUCUUUCUAU
rnacentral:tRNA from 1 species